UUUCUCGAAAAUAAAAGAGUUAAGUUCCAUAUCUGUUUUUGUUUCAAAAAAAUUGAAAAGUAGAACUUGGGUGUGAAAAAUAAUUCGAUUUUAUUAAUAUCUAGUAACUUUAUAAAUAAAUUUAGUUUAGUGAGUUUAGAAAAUAUUUUUUUAAAUACAACAAUAAUAUGAAGGGGAUGAGCUCUAAAAUUAAGAUAAAAUUUGGAUUAAUUGUAGGCUUAAAAGUGGCCAAAUUAAAGUGUUAUAACUAAUUAGUUUUAAGAAAAAGAUUUAAAAAAAUUUUAAUAAAUAUAAAGUUAAUUCCUUAAAUUUAGUAAGGGAAGAAAUAAUGAUAGAAUAAGUAGAGAGUAUUUUAAUAAUUUAAAAAUUUGUUUUAAGAAAUCAUUUUAAUAUAAGAAUUAGGCAAAUAUGAUUUCCGAAUGUUUAACAAAAACAUUUCCUCUUAAUUUAAGAGGUAAGGCCUGCUCACUGAGAUUUUAAAGAGCCGCAGUAUACUGACUGUGCUAAGGUAGCAUAAUCAUUAGUUUUUUAAUUGGGAACUGGUAUGAAAGGCUAAACGAGAAAUCCGCUUUUUUUAUUAAAAAAAUUUAAUUUAAAUUUUUAGUGAAAAUGCUAAAAUUUGACAAAAAGACGAGAAGACCCUGUAGAGUUUUAUAAUUCCGGGUUAUAAAAAUGAAAAUUUAAAAAGUUUUUAUAAAUUUUUGAAUUAUUUUGUUGGGGCGACAUUUAGAUAUAAAUAACUCUUUAUUAUUUGAAUCUUUUAUGAAAGUUGAAGAAUUGAUCCUUUAAAAAAGAUUAAAAGAAAAAAUUACCUUAGGGAUAACAGCGUAAUCUUUUUCGAGAGUUCUUAUCGACAAAAAGGUUUGCGACCU
rnacentral:rRNA from 1 species